AUUGAACGCUGGCGGCAGGCCUAACACAUGCAAGUCGAGCGGAUGAAGGGAGCUUGCUCCUGGAUUCAGCGGCGGACGGGUGAGUAAUGCCUAGGAAUCUGCCUGGUAGUGGGGGAUAACGUCUGGAAACGGGCGCUAAUACCGCAUACGUCCUGAGGGAGAAAGUGGGGGAUCUUCGGACCUCACGCUAUCAGAUGAGCCUAGGUCGGAUUAGCUAGUUGGUGGGGUAAAGGCCUACCAAGGCGACGAUCCGUAACUGGUCUGAGAGGAUGAUCAGUCACACUGGAACUGAGACACGGUCCAGACUCCUACGGGAGGCAGCAGUGGGGAAUAUUGGACAAUGGGCGAAAGCCUGAUCCAGCCAUGCCGCGUGUGUGAAGAAGGUCUUCGGAUUGUAAAGCACUUUAAGUUGGGAGGAAGGGCAGUAAGUUAAUACCUUGCUGUUUUGACGUUACCAACAGAAUAAGCACCGGCUAACUUCGUG
rnacentral:rRNA from 1 species